rnacentral:rRNA from 1 species
AACGAACGCUGGCGGCAUGCCUAACACAUGCAAGUCGAACGAGACCUCCCGGUCUUUUGGCGCACGGCUACUUAACACGUGGGGACCUGCCCUUGGGUUCGCAAUAACUCCCCGAAAGGGAUCCUAAUACCACAUAGGCUCUUCGCACCAAAGAUCUAUUGCCUCGGGAUGGGCCCUCGUUGGAUUAGCUAGUUGGUAGGGUAAAAGCCUGCUAAGGCGACGAUCCAUAGCUGGUCUGUGAGGAUGAUCAGCACGACUGGGACUGAGACCAGGCCCAGACGCCUGCGGGAGGGAGCAGUGGUGAAAAAUGGAGACGGGGCGAAAGCCUGAUCCAGCAAUGGCGGGAGAGUGGUGAAGGCGUUAGGGUUGUAUUGCUCUUUUACCGGGGAUGAUAAGAAGGUUACGGGGAGAAUAAGCCCGGGCUAACACGGU